rnacentral:rRNA from 1 species
AACGAACGCUGGCGGCAGGCUUAACACAUGCAAGUCGAGCGCCCCGCAAGGGGAGCGGCAGACGGGUGAGUAACGCGUGGGAACGUGCCCUUUGGUUCGGAACAACUCCGGGAAACUGGAGCUAAUACCGGAUAAGCCCUUACGGGGAAAGAUUUAUCGCCAAAGGAUCGGCCCGCGUCUGAUUAGCUAGUUGGUGAGGUAAUGGCUCACCAAGGCGACGAUCAGUAGCUGGUCUGAGAGGAUGAUCAGCCACACUGGGACUGAGACACGGCCCAGACUCCUACGGGAGGCAGCAGUGGGGAAUAUUGGACAAUGGGCGCAAGCCUGAUCCAGCCAUGCCGCGUGAGUGAUGAAGGCCUUAGGGUUGUAAAGCUCUUUUGUCCGGGAAGAUAAUGACUGUACCGGAAGAGUAAGCCCCGGCUAACUUCGUGCCAGCCGCCGCAGUAAUAC